rnacentral:rRNA from 1 species
UCGCCUACACGAAGCUGGAAUCGCUAGUAAUCGCGGAUCAGCACGCCGCGGUGAAUACGUUCCCGGGCCUUGUACACACCGCCCGUCACACCAUGAGAGUCUGUAACACCCAAAGCCGGUGGGAUAACCUUUAUAGGAGUCAGCCGUCUAAGGUAGGACAGAUGAUUAGGGUGAAGUCGUAACAAGGUAGC